AAAUCCACAAAGACAAAGAAAAUGAGAGAUGAGACAACAGCAAGAAAUUGGAGAAGAUGGAAUGCAAAUGGAAGAGGGGUAACUGAUUCAACAGAUGCAAAGAAGCUAAACCUUAAACCAACAGUGAGAAAGCAAAAUAUGAAAGUUAAAAAGCAGUUUUGUUUAUCCACACAACCUUCUGGACCCAGGAUUUGGUAGCACCAGUGACCUCUGGGAGUGGGGGUGACUGUGAGGUCAACUGAUACUACAUCAACCAGAGCCCCCACCCUUCCGAUGAGAACAUGGCCUAGAGAAAAAAUAAAAAUAUAAGGAAAAAAAGAAAAAAAACCCUAAAAACCAAAGCGCCUUCACCCUAAAUAACAUGAUCUAGAAGCUCAAAUGCUGAUGAGGAUAUGGAGCAAAAGAAAUUCUCAUUCAUUGAUGGAAGGAAUGCAAAAUGGUACAGCCACUGUGGAAGACAGUUUCUUACAAAACUAAACCUACUCUUAUAAUAGCAUCCAGCAAUUGUACUCCUUGGUAUUUACCUAAAUAAGUUGAAAACUUACAUCCUUACAGAAACCUGCAUACAGAUGUUUAUAGCAGCUUUAAUUAUGAUUGACAGAACUUUAAAGCAACCAAGCUGUACUUCAACAGGUGAAUGGAUAAAUUAACUCUGAUAUAUCCAAAAAAUGGAACAUUAUUCCAUGCUAAAGAGAAAUGAGUUACCAUGUUCUAAAAAGACAUGGAGGAAACUUAAAUAUCUAUUACUAAGUGAAAAAAACAACCUGUAAAGGCUCUAUACAUAUUGUACCAUAUGAUUCCAACUAUAUGACAUUCUGGAAAAGGAAGAACUAUGAAGACAGUAAAAAAUUAGCAAUUUCCAGGGUUUGAGAGGAGGAAGAGAUGAAUAGGUACAGAACAGAGGAUUUUUAGAGCAGUGAAACCAUUCUGUACAAUACUAUCAUGGUGGACACAUGUCCUUAUACAUUUGUAAAAACCCAUGAAAUGUACACCAAAGUGAACUCUAAUGUAAACUUUUGACUUUAGGUGAUAAUAAGGAGUCAGUGUAGGUUCACUGAUUUUCACAAAUAUACCACUCUGGUGUGGCAUGGCGAUAGAGGGGGAUGCUGUUCAUAUUUAGGGGUAAGGGGCAUAUGGAAACUCUCUGUACUUUCCACUCAAUUCCUCGGUAAACCUAAAACUGCUCUAAAAAAUAAAGUCU
rnacentral:lncRNA from 1 species